rnacentral:rRNA from 1 species
AACGAACGCUGGCGGCAGGCUUAACACAUGCAAGUCGAGCGCAUCCUUCGGGGUGAGCGGCGGACGGGUUAGUAACGCCGUGGGAACGUGCCCUUUGCUCUGGAAUAGCCCUGGGAAACUGGGGGGUAAUACCGGAUGUGCCCUGAGGGGGAAAGGUUUACCGGCAAGGGAUCGGCCCGCGUCUGAUUAGGUAGUUGGUGGGGCAACGGCUCACCAAGCCCGACGAUCGGUAGCUGGUUUGAGAGGAUGAUCAGCAACACUGGGACUGAGACACGGCCCAGACUCCUACGGGAGGCAGCAGUGGGGAAUCUUGGACGAAUGGGGGCAACCCUGAUCCAGCCAUGCCGCGUGGGUGAUGAA